rnacentral:rRNA from 1 species
CAGGCCUAACACAUGCAAGUCGAGCGGGGACUGUACGACGGAUUUGAAGAUUUCGGUUGGAUAUGAAGAUGUACAGUUCUAGCGGCGGACGGGUGAGUAACGCGUGAGCAACCUGUCCCUUACAGGGGGAUAACACAGCGAAAGUUGUACUAAUACCGCAUAAGACCACGGAUUCACAUGGAUCAGGGGUCAAAGGAGCAAUCCGGUAAGGGGUGGGCUCGCGUCCGAUUAGAUAGUUGGUGAGGUAACGGCCCACCAAGUCGACGAUCGGUAGCCGACCUGAGAGGGUGAUCGGCCACAUUGGGACUGAGACACGGCCCAAACUCCUACGGGAGGCAGCAGUGGGGAAUAUUGGGCAAUGGGGGGAACCCUGACCCAGCAACGCCGCGUGAGGGAAGAAGGUUUUCGGAUCGUAAACCUCUGUCCUAUGUGAAGAGGAAGAGACGGUAGCAUAGGAGGAAGCCCCGGCUAACUACGUGCCAGCAGCCGCGGUAAUACGUAGGGGGCGAGCGUUGUCCGGAAUGAUUGGGCGUAAAGGGCGCGUAGGCGGCCUUUUAAGUCUGAAGUGAAAGUCCUGGUUUUAAGUUGGGAAUUGCUUUGGAUACUGGAAGGCUUGAGUGCAGGAGAGGUAAGUGGAAUUCCCAGUGUAGCGGUGGAAUGCGUAGAGAUUGGGAGGAACACCAGUGGCGAAGGCGACUUACUGGACUGUAACUGACGCUGAGGCGCGAAGGUGCGGGUAUCGAACAGGAUUAGAUACCCUGGUAGUCCGCACGGUAAACGAUGGAUGCCCGCUGUUUGCGAUAUACUGUGAGCGGCCAAGAGAAAUCGUUAAGCAUCCCACCUGGGGAGUACGCCGGCAACGGUGAAACUCAAAGGAAUUGACGGGGGCCCGCACAAGCGGAGGAACAUGUGGUUUAAUUCGAUGAUACGCGAGGAACCUUACCCGGGCUUGAACUGCAGGAGAACGAUUCAGAGAUGAUGAGGUCCUUCGGGACUCCUGUGGAGGUGCUGCAUGGUUGUCGUCAGCUCGUGCCGUGAGGUGUCGGCUUAAGUGCCAUAACGAGCGCAACCCCUUUCGUUAGUUGCCAUCAGGUGAUGCUGGGCACUCUGGCGAUACUGCCACCGUAAGGUGUGAGGAAGGUGGGGAUGACGUCAAAUCAGCACGGCCCUUACGUCCGGGGCUACACACGUGUUACAAUGGGUGGUACAGAGAGUGGGUCGUCUGCAAAUGCGAUCAAAUCCUAAAAGCCAUCCUCAGUUCGGAUUGGGGUCUGCAACCCGACCCCAUGAAGCUGGAUUCGCUAGUAAUCGCGCAUCAGCCAUGGCGCGGUGAAUACGUUCCCSG